rnacentral:miRNA from 14 species
ACGCCUGGGCUCUCCGGGUACC